rnacentral:ribozyme from 1 species
UCUGCCUUUUUUUUUCCUUUUUCUUUUUUUCUUCUUAAAGGAGAGUUUUUCUUUCUUU